rnacentral:RNase_P_RNA from 1 species
CUGCAGAUUCAGGUCUAUCGCUCUUUGGGAUAAUCCAAAGGGAGGAAAGUCCGGGCAGCACAGGACAAUCCGCCUCAAGAUGCUUUGAUGGGUGCCAUCAAAGCCGAAUUGAGGGCGUGUUUUCCCGAGAGGGAACACGACAGAAAGUGCCACAGAAACUAUACCGUCCGCCUCCGGCGGAUAAGGGUGAAAAUGUGGGGUAAGAGCCCACACGUUGGCAGAGUAAUCUGUCAAUGGGGCAAACCUCGGAUGCUGCAAGACCAAAUAGGUUCUGCUUCAGGAGUUGUCCUGCUCCUUCAUCUGCCAAUGGCAGGUGUGGCAGAACGGGUAGGUCGCUCAGAGGAAUGAUAGACGAAAAACAGAACCCGGCUUACUCAAUCUGCAGUUUU